rnacentral:rRNA from 1 species
GCGCGAAACCUCCUCAAUGCACUGAAGUGUGAAGGGGUUACCUCGAGUGCCAUCUGAAGAAGGUGGCUUUUCCUUGGUCUAAAUAGCCUUGGGAAUAAGAGGGGGGCAAGACUGGUGUCAGCCGCCGCGGUAACACCAGCCCCUCGAGUGGUGGGGAUGAUUAUUUGGCCUAAAGCGUCCGUAGCCGGCCGAGUAAGUUUCCCGUUAAAUCCAGCGUCUCAAGCGUUGGACUGCGGGAAAUACUGCCCGGCUAGAGAGUGGGAGAGGUGAGCGGUAUUCUGGGGGUAGGGGCGAAAUCCUUUGAUCCCCGGAGGACCACCAGUGGCGAAGGCUGCUUACUAGAACACGUCUGACGGUCAGGGACGAAAGCUGGGGUAGCGAACCGGAUUAGAUACCCGGGUAGUCCCAGCUGUAAACGAUGCACGCUAGGUGUUGGGUCGGCCACGCGCCGCCCCAGUGCCGCAGGGAAGCCGUUAAGCGUGCCGCCUGGGGAGUACGGCCGCAAGGCUGAAACUUAAAGGAAUUGGCGGGGGAGCACCACCAGGCGU